rnacentral:rRNA from 1 species
UACGUGAGAGGCAAGCGUUACUCGUCAUUAAUGGGUCUAAAGGGUGCGUAGGCGGCCAUGUAAGUGAGGUGUGAAAUCCCUCGGCUCAACCGAGGAACUGCGCUUCAUACUGCAUGGCUUGAGGGAGACAGGGGUAAGCGGAACUGAUGGUGGAGCGGUGAAAUGCGUUGAUAUCAUCAGGAACACCGGUGGCGAAAGCGGCUUACUGGGUCUCUUCUGACGCUGAGGUACGAAAGCUAGGGUAGCGAACGGG